AGUGAACGCUGGCGGUAGGCCUAACACAUGCAAGUCGAACGGCAGCACAGUAAGAGCUUGCUCUUACGGGUGGCGAGUGGCGGACGGGUGAGGAAUACAUCGGAAUCUACUUUUUCGUGGGGGAUAACGUAGGGAAACUUACGCUAAUACCGCAUACGACCUACGGGUGAAGGCAGGGGAUCUUCGGACCUUGCGCGAUUGAAUGAGCCGAUGUCGGAUUAGCUAGUUGGCGGGGUAAAGGCCCACCAAGGCGACGAUCCGUAGCUGGUCUGAGAGGAUGAUCAGCCACACUGGAACUGAGACACGGUCCAGACUCCUACGGGAGGCAGCAGUGGGGAAUAUUGGACAAGGGGCGCAAGCCUGAUCAAGCCAUACCGCGUGGGUGAAGAAGGCCUUCGGGUUGUAAAGCCCUUUUGUUGGGAAAGAAAAGCAGCAGGUUAAUACCCCGCUGUUCUGACGGUACCCAAAGAAUAAGCACCGGCUAACUUCGU
rnacentral:rRNA from 1 species